rnacentral:rRNA from 1 species
GACGAACGCUGGCGGCGUGCUUAACACAUGCAAGUCGAACGGAAAGGCCCUGCUUUUGUGGGGUGCUCGAGUGGCGAACGGGUGAGUAACACGUGAGUUACCUGCCCUUGACUUUGGGAUAACUUCAGGAAACUGGGGCUACUACCGGAUCGGAUCUCCUGCUGCAUGGUGGGGGUUGGAAAGUUUCGGCGGUUGGGGAUGGACUCGCGGCUUAUCAGCUUGUUGGUGGGGUAGUGGCUUACCAAGGCUUUGACGGGUAGCCGGCCUGAGAGGGUGACCGGCCACAUUGGGAGUGAGAUACGGCACAGACUCCUACGGGAGGCAGCAGUGGGGAAUAUUGCACAAUGGGCGGAAGCCUGGUGCAGCAACGCCGCGUGCGGGAUGACGGCCUUCGGGUUGUAAACCGCUUUCGCCUGUGACGAAGCGUGAGUGACGGUAAUGGGUAAAGAAGCACCGGCUAACUACGUG